rnacentral:rRNA from 1 species
GACGAACGCUGGCGGCGUGCUUAACACAUGCAAGUCGAACGAAGUGGCGAACGGGUGAGUAAUACGUGGGUAACCUGCCCUCCUUUUUGGGAUAAGCCUUGGAAACGGGGUCUAAUACCGCAUAUAGGGGGAUGGGCUCGCGGCUUAUCAGGUGGUUGGUGGGGUGAUGGCCUACCAAGGCGGUGACGGGUAGCCGGCCUGAGAGGCGGACCGGCCACGUGGGGACGCAGAUACGGCCCAGGCUACGAGCGGAGGCCGCACUGGGGGAAAUGGCGCAAUGGGCGAAAGCCUGAUGCAGCGACGCCGCGUGGGGGAUGAAGGCUUUCGGGUUGUAAAUCUGUGUCGCAAGCGAACGGGUAGGUGCAGAAGAAGCGCCGGCUAACUACGUGCCAGCCGCCGCGGUAAUAC